rnacentral:rRNA from 1 species
CCCUUAGAUGUUCUGGGCCGCACGCGCGCUACACUGGGUGCUUCAGAAUGAUUAUUAGCCUGGUCCGUCGUGGUCUAGGUAAUCACUGAAUGGCACGCCAUACCUGGGAUAGAUUAUUGCAACUAUUAAUCUUCAACGAGGAAUUCCUAGUAGGCACGAGUCAUCAGCUCGUACCGAUUACGUCCCUGCCCUUUGUACACACCGCCCGUCGCUACUACUGAUUGGAUGUUAAAGCGAGAUCUUCGGACCCUGGGUUCAUGGUCCUCCGGGACCUAGAGCUAUGGGGGAAGUAGAUCAAGCUUUGGUGUCUAGAGGAAGUAAAAGUCGUAACA